CACAACAAAAUGCAUUUGUUUUCCUCGUUUGCUUUAUGCGUUGAUUUUGUUCACUUCUGUACAAGAUCUAAUCGCUGGAAGAGUCUUUUGUGUGAACAUUUGUUAAAAAAGUGAGAAAAGAAAUUAAUAAAUUAACAAAAUAAAUCAAAUUAAUAUAAACAGAUCAAUUGAAAGCAGUGGUCCAAAUUUUAGCGGAUCAAACUGUUUUAAUAAAGCAGCUGGUAAGGGGGAAUUGAAUCCCAUUCGGGGACAGUUCCCAAUAAAACGUGAGGAAGAGCUUAUAGAACUGGAAGAAAAAAUAAAAUUAAAUAGGGACAUUUAUAUAACAGCAAUGAAAUCAAUUCUCCAGCCAGCUGGCGUUUUGAGCGGCUUGAACUUUAUUUUGAGUGAGGACAUUGUUCUGGCAUAUAACGUCGAUGGGGUCCAAGGGAAGAAGGCCCUUAGGACCCACAAAGAAUUUUUUGCAGCUUUGCUAGAAUGUAUUCCGCCUGGCGAUGAGCCCCCCGAAAACACUGUACGGAAGGCAAUGCAAAGGAUGAAGAAAAGGGUGUUUAAAAAGAAGUGUCUUGCCAAAAACCAGGAGUAGGCUAAGCAUCAUAUAAUUAAAAAUUAUUCGUUAUAUUGAAA